rnacentral:rRNA from 1 species
AUUGAACGCUGGCGGUAUGCUUAACACAUGCAAGUCGAACGGUAACAGGCCUUCGGGCGCUGACGAGUGGCGGACGGUGAGUAACGCGUAGGAAUCUGCCUCAUAGUGGGGGACAACGUGGGGAAACUCACGCUAAUACCGCAUACGCCCUACGGGGAAAGCGGGGAUCUUCGGACCUCGCGCUAUGAGAUGAGCCUGCGUUAGAUUAGCUAGUUGGUAGGGUAAAGGCCUACCAAGGCGACGAUCUAUAGCUGGUCUGAGAGGACGAUCAGCCACACUGGGACUGAGACACGGCCCAGACUCCUACGGGAGGCAGCAGUGGGGAAUAUUGGACAAUGGGCGCAAGCCUGAUCCAGCAAUACCGCGUGUGUGAAGAAGGCCUUAGGGUUGUAAAGCACUUUCAAUUGGGAGGAAAACCUGCCGGUCAAUACCCGGUAGCUUGACAUUACCUUUAGAAGAAGCACCGGCUAACUCCGUGCCAGCAGCCGCGGUAAU